UGGACUCUUCACACACUGAGGUCUGGACUCUUCACACUGAGGUCUGGACUCACACACUGAGGUCUGGACUCUUCACACUGAGGUCUGGACACUUCUCACACUGCGCUCCCCCAGACCUCAAAGGUGACUCUGAGGAACUCCUGGUAAUGGGAGCGUUCAUGAGUCACAAAGAGCUUCUGCUCUGCUUCAUCAUCACCAACCAACCAAUGAACCACCUCCACAUCGUCAUCAUCAUCAUCCACACAUUAAUACAUCUGUGACACUACAUUCAGGUUCACGCUCACACAGUUUCACACACUCGAUCGUGCGUAAGAGAAUGAAAAGGUCUUUGAGUGAGUGAGUGAGUCAUCUCAUGUCCCUGUGUGAGAGAACCAUCGACUGCAUCAUCGUCAUUUAUCAGGAGGAAGCAGCUGAAAUCAAAGAAUUCAGAUUGAGUUUUCCCUUUAAUGGUCAUUUUUAUGUAACGUGAUGAUCCAUAAAAGCCAAGACAAAGCAGCGUUUCCCCUAACGCAAGGGUGUAGACAUGAAAUGAAAUGAAAUUGUGGCAUUUUGCUCUCUGACAGUUUAAUUUUCAAAAUAACACAAAUACUCACUCAUUUC